UUUUAACCAUAAAACCUACUUUUGGAAUAAUUACUUUUUAAUUUUCUGAAAAGGUCCGGUUUAGUGCAGGGCAAUAGUGGGUGAAGUUAUGUUCAUUUACUGCUAACCUACUUCUUUUUUUAAAAAAAGAGGCUGAUUUGGGGAAAAUGGAAAUUGUAACCAGAUAGAUCAGUUUGGACAUUUGUUUGAACAGCUGCUUUAAUCAAUUUAAUAAGCUCAGGUGUCUAGGGAGUGCAAACCAGAGGAGAGAAUGGGGGACCUGGAGGCCCCUGGGAAAUUGCUGAGCUGCAUAUGGCAGAGAAUGGCCUCUUAUCAGAGCUGUCCUGUGGGCACCUGUAUAGCCUCUAUUUUCCAUGACAAUAUGCAUUUCUGGGACAGAAAACACAGCCCUUUGUCUGAUGGCAUAUCAAGACCCUCACCAAUUCUCAUUUCUGAAAAUAUAAUUUCUUAAGAGUGUGUUUUCUUAAACACACUCUUCCUUAAGAAUUGCCUGACCCAGGCAGCAGUGGCAGAGCUGGGUCCAGAGAUCCCUGUGCUCCUUGAAAUAGUUCUACUUCCCCUUCUUCCUUCAUAACUCAAAUCCUUUGAUAAUGAUUACUUGUAUUUGUAAAACCCCAAAGGAUUCUUGAUGUAUCAAGGGCAGAAAUUGAUUAUCUCCCAUUUUGUGGUUUAGGUGGCAAACUCCUUAUUUGGCAAUUAAAAAAAAAAAUCGAAGAUGAGAAGAAAAUGGGAAGUAUGGUGGAGAUCAUUCUAGAAAAGAAAUACCAGUCUCCACUGAAGCAAACACAUUGAAGACUUACUUAUAAAAAUGGUCUCCACUUUACUGUAGAUUCAUACUUGGCUUACUUAAAUAUGGAGCUCUUCUGGAGCAUUUAGUAGGAUGGAGGACAGAAAAACCAGAGAUAUCCGUGGAAAAUCAGUCUUAUAAUAUGAAAAUCAAGGGUCUGAUUACCCAGUAGGAAAGACAUGAGUCUUUGGGGCUGGAGGUGUAGAUCAGAGGCAGAGCUCAUAGUCAGUGAGCACAAGGCUUAGCAGCCAGGAGAUGAGCCUUCCAUUUAGAAAAAUCUGACCUCGUGCAGACAUUUAUAAAGGCAGAUGCAAAAAGCCAGAUAUAUCCAUGCUGGCCUGUUAAUCCCACAAAAGCUCAGAGGCGCAGGGCGUGUGUCUUUCACAGCUUGACACUGUUGUGCUUCCUGUCCACUCUGUGAAUGUCCCAUCAACACAUCUAUCGGUUGUAUUUGGUGUGUCUGAGCAGAACAAUUCAUCCAUUCAUGAUCUGAGCUGGCAGAGUAGAGAACUCUGCUCCUCACUUCUCUCACCUCGGAAUUGGAUGGAAGAAGAGAGAAAGCAAAAUUUUCAUGUGCCCAGAGGAAAACAGGUACUGCAGAGAUGAGAGACGAAGAGAAGAGGAGGAGGAGGAGGAGGAAGAGGAAGGAAGAUUGCCAAGCUAGUGGGAGUUUGAUCACUGCUGAGAAUGCAUAUCUGUGUUGUCAUACAGUUUCUCGCCCAGCCUUCCAACUCAGCCCUGUGCUGGCAUCUCGGGCAGUUCCUCUGUUUCUCAGACCUUGCCCACUUCCUGAGGCCACUCUUCCCAUUUGGCUCUGGGCUGCCACAUGGCAGGACACCUCUUUCCUGAGUCUUUCCUAUGCACCUGCAAGGGUGGGAGAUUGAAGUGGCGCUCUCAGGUGAUGGUAGGCUCCCUGAAGGAAGCUGUCACCCCUAGGCUGUACUUAGUGAUGUCUCAAGGAGCCAUGGGAGGUGACAGUUGGGCACCCAUUCAGUUGGGAGGGAGAUAGCACGGAUUCUAGAUGCCUAUCUAAUGGAGCUAAGUUACCCUGGCCAAGGGCUUGUCUGUAUCUCAGCUGGUUUGGGGAUAGGAGAGUAGGAUUGGAAACUUUUAUUAUUAUUAUUAUUAUUAUUAUUAUUAUUAUUAUAGUUUGGACUGAACCACUGAGCAACAUUCCCAACCCUUUUUAUUUUUUAUUUUGAGGCAGGUCUCAAUAAGUUGCUUAGGGCCUUGAUAAGCUGCUAAGGCUGGCUUUGAAUUUGCGAUCCUCCUGCCUCAGCCUCCCCAGUUGCUGGGAUUACAAAUGUGUGUCAUAGCACUUGGCUAAGGGACUGGGAACUUUUGCACCAUGAAUGCUUGGCAUGUCAUGAUGAUUUUCCCAGAGCCACAUAACCAGCACACAUAGGUUGAGGCUUCUCUUUGUCUAGAUUCUAUCCUCAACAGCAUAGAAAAACCAGUGAGAACAAUAGAGACAGAAAAACAGAAGAUCCCGUAAGAGGCUCAGGUGCCAGAAGUCCUGGGAUAUUCAGGGGGUGGCUGUUGACUGAGGAGUCCUCUAGGGGCAUAAGGAGAACAUUCUGCAUAUUGGCCAUUGAGACAUUCCCUCUGAGUACUCUAAUCCUGGAGAGAAAGGAACCCAGGGCUUAAGUCAGAGUAUAGGGAGUUGACCUAAUUGUAAGGUUGUCUGUCUGUUUAAUUAACAGAUAGUUCUGUGGAGAGAGACAGCAAGGUCACACAUAACCAUGAAUAUUAGCAACACUGUCCUGGGGCUCUGGAAAAACUGAUGGCCAAGUGUUCAUCUGAAGACUCGUUCUGUCUUGGUCUCCAGGCUGGCACGGAUCGGGAAUAAAGGAAAAUAUGGAAGUGGCAUCCAAAUAUUGGUUCUGAAAAGCCAACGGACUGGGAAGAACAGGUGUGCACCUUUAGAUCCAGCCAUGGUCUAAGGAAGUCGCAGAUGCAUUACCUCGCCCUUCCCCUUGGUGCCUUGUGGGGCCCUGGAGGCCAUGUCGGAAUCACAGCAGCCGCGUAUGGGACAGCGCUGCUGACAGGGUGUUCCUGCACCAGACUUACCCUGUCAGCAAGACACUAUGUACAACAUUCAUUUGCCAAAUUGUGGCACAUUAUGUAAAUCUCUUUUAAGCUCACUUAAAUUGUUUAGAAAUAUUGUAGAUAGGAAAAGCUAGAAACACAUUUAACAAACCAUGAUUACUGAGAUUAGAGUGCUUUGAACUUGAGCAUUAGAGAAACUUGUGAACUUGUAGGAUUGACCAGGACAAGUGCCCAUCUCUUCUGAGAAGCAUUCAAGUUUGUUGAGGGUAACAGCAUUGGCUGAGAGGCAUUCUGGGAAGCUGGGAGCAGAUGAAGGGGGAAGGAAGGAAAGAGCUAAGAAGUCAGAAAACAUCUCCCAAUACCAAGAGUUAGUUUUCCCUGCACAAAAUGCUGGAGGUAGAACUGUCUGGGUCAGUUACCUGGGUCCAAGAACAAGCUGCCAGGAAGAAGCCCGCGCCACCCUGGACAAAGCAAUGGGGUGAAUGUCUCAUGGCAGCCGCUUUGAUUUCAAAGACAAAAUAGUUGAACCCCAGACCUCGCUGUAGCUGUGAAGCGUCACUCUAAAUUUAUAAGCUCAUUAAAGUAGUAUUUUUGACUGUCUACAUGUUUGGCUUUACAGAAAAUACACAGAAUGCUUCCAGCCACACCUAAGCCGCCUUAAACUACUUGGCUGACAGUUUUUUCUUCUAACUAUUCAAGUGAGCGUCUCUGUUAUUUAUGAAGUUUGUGGAAGGCAGGGAAGCGAUUUGUGGUUUGGUACCCUUGUCAGUUUAGAGGGAUCAAGUGCAGUCCAUCUCUUGAAAUCAUUUAACUGUCAGACUAUCAGACUGCCUGAGUUGAGAAUCAUCCUCUUAAAAAAAAAAAAAAAUCCUGUGUCUGUCUGAUUUGGUUUGGCCAAGGGGCCAGAGAAAGGGCUUCUGAGUUCAUUUUCAUUCCUUCACUGACAGUUUAGGUGGCUGGUUCAUCUAAGAGCUCCCCCUCCCCUUUUUUUCCUUCCUUCCUGCGAUGCUGGUCAGAUGGAUGAGAUAAUCCUUAUAAACUCCUUUAACUAUGUCAGUCAUCACGUAGCCCCACUCAUUAUUACAUGUGCUUCAUCACAGAUGCCCUCUGACCAGAGUUUCUGUCCAUUGGCCUGGAAUGAUGCCCAAGACGGAAGGGAUGCUACUGACACAGUGGCACGUGGUCAUGUUGGUGGGAGUUGGUGGCCCCUGAAUUUGAUAUAAACAAUCGUUUCCAGAAAUGGGUUAAAUGGUAGCUCUGCCACUCGUGUCUGCUCAUCACCUCCAGGGCGACUGCAUAUUUCAAGCCUCUGUUCCGGGAACUAAUAAUAGGUAGAAUGAAAAGGCUGUUUCCUCUGAUGCGCUUUUAUGAGAUGUUUUCAAAGAUGAGGUGGCAGGGAAAUGGUUAAACUGCUCACUUGUGCAGGAAGGCAUCAGGGUGACAGGGCAGGGAAGCCCCACCUUCUGCUCAGGACAGCCAGGGACCAGGGACAUCAAGGCAGCCUCAAGCCUUGUAACCUAGAUGCCAUAUGCUUUUCAGGUGACGAUGCUGUGUCCGCCACAGGGAGAAGUGUGGUCACAGGACAGCUGCCGCUUGGCCAGGUAGCCCUCUCCACAUGGACUCUCCUGGGUGAUGGCUCUUCACUGAGCCCACGAUUGUUA
rnacentral:lncRNA from 1 species